rnacentral:rRNA from 1 species
GACAGAGGUCCCGAGCGUUGUUCGGAUUCAUUGGGCGUAAAGGGUGUGUAGGAGGUCGGGUAAGUCAGGUGUGAAAUCUCACAGCUUAACUGUGAAACUGCGCUUGAUACUGCCCGGCUAGAGGAUCGGAGGGGGUAACGGAAUUUAUGGUGUAGCAGUGAAAUGCGUAGAUAUCAUAAGGAACACUGGUGGCGAAGGCGGUUACCUGGAAGAUUCCUGACUCUGAAACACGAAAGCCAGGGGAGCAAACGGG